CCGUAGUAGGCGAGGCGGGCGACGAUGUCGCUGCCGUCGUAGCGGGAGCGGGCCAGCGCCCGUGCGAUCCCGCCGCGCUCGACGGC
rnacentral:tRNA from 1 species